GACGAACGCUGGCGGCGUGCCUAAUACAUGCAAGUAGGACGCAGUUGCGAACGGGUGAGUAACGCGUAGGUCACUACCUUUUAGAGGGGGAUAACUAUUGGAAACGAUAGCUAAUACCGCAUACUUGUCGAUGGACCUGCGUUGUAUUAGCUAGUAGGUAGGGUAAUGGCCUAGCUAGUCAACGAUACAUAGGCGGGCUGGGAGGGUGAGCGGCCACACGGGGACUGAGACACGGGCCAGACGCCUACGGGAGGCAGCAGAAGGGAAUGUUCGGCAAUGGGGGGAACCCGGACCGGGCAACGCCGCGUGAGUGAAGAAGGGGUUCGGGUAGUAAAGCUCUGUUGUUAAGGAAGCGGUACGUAACCAGAAAGGGACGGCUAACUACGUGCCAGCCGCCGCGGUAAUUC
rnacentral:rRNA from 1 species